GAUUUCAGCUAAAGCAGUUAUCAACAACAUAGUUGUAGAACUCAUCAAGAUGUACAACUUUUAUUUUGGUUAUUUCUUCAUCUGACAAAAUGGUAGUAACAUUGUUCACAAAUUUUACAUACCUCUCAUACGGUUUCAUAAACUACAAGAGGUGUAAAUUUUGUGAACAAUGUUAUUAUCAUUUUGUCGGAUAAAGUAAUGACGAAAUAAAUGUUGUACAUCUUGAUGAGUUCUAUAACUUUUAUGUUCAUGACUUUUCAGUUGUAAUC
rnacentral:pre_miRNA from 1 species